UAUGAUCAUAUCAUAUUUAUAAUAUUGCCAUUAAAUCAUAAACAUAACAUCAUAUGAUUUAAUCUAACAAGCUUGCUCUGAUACCACUGUAGGAUUUUGGUGUACAGAGCGAAAGCAUGGAUUUCAAAGCAUUUAAUAUGAAAUCAUAAACCAAAACCUAACUCCAGGAACACCUUAUUAGAAUUUAAACCAUAUUAAUAUGCAUUAAUAUCAGAAUAUAAGGUAUAGAAACAUACCUACAAUCGCUAAACCCUUAUUUAUGCUCGAUUGCCGGC
rnacentral:lncRNA from 1 species